AUACGAAGGGGGCUAGCGUUGUUCGGAUUUACUGGGCGUAAAGCGCACGUAGGCGGAUUGUUAAGUUAGGGGUGAAAUCCCAGGGCUCAACCCUGGAACUGCCUUUAAUACUGGCAAUCUCGAGUCCGGAAGAGGUGAGUGGAAUUCCGAGUGUAGAGGUGAAAUUCGUAGAUAUUCGGAGGAACACCAGUGGCGAGGGCGGCUCACUGGUCCGGUACUGACGCUGAGGUGCGAAAGCGGGGGGAGCAAACAGGAUGAGAUACCCUGGUAGUCCACGCUGUAAACGAUGGAAGCGAGCCGUCGGCAAGUUUACGUGUCGGUGGCGCAGCUAACGCAUUAAGCUUCCCGCCUGGGGAGUACGGUCGCAAGAUUAAA
rnacentral:rRNA from 1 species